UACAGAGGUCUCAAGCGUUGUUCGGAUUCAUUGGGCGUAAAGGGUGCGUAGGCGGCGCGGUAAGUCGGGUGUGAAAUCUCGGAGCUUAACUCCGAAACUGCAUUCGAUACUGCCGUGCUUGAGGACUGGAGAGGAGACUGGAAUUUACGGUGUAGCGGUGAAAUGCGUAGAUAUCAAGUGGAACACCAGUGGCGAAGGCGAGUCUCUGGACAUUUCCUGACGCUGAGGCACGAAAGCCAGGGGAGCAAACGGG
rnacentral:rRNA from 1 species